AAACGCGACAAUUUAUUAAAAAUAUUUAUUUUUACUUUAAACAAUAUUAUUCAUUAUUAUGAGUAACCUAAUAAUACCUAACGUUACCAAAACUCAGCAGAUCGCAAUAUAAGUUAGAACCGGUCUCGAUGCAUGAUUGUCCAUAACACAUGAAGCAGUAUCGGAAAACGAUUUGACUCCAGACGGAAUCCUCGCAACUAAAGGGCCGGCGAGGAGAGAAUAAAACAAAGAAAAGUUUUUAUAACUCUCUCAAUUGCCGCUAUCCGCUACGAGUUUAAAAAAGGAAUUUAUAAGUUAUCUGUGGUGAUAGAAGAAAAUAUUGAAAGAACUUGGAAGCUGGGCAUCAUGUAAAAUUCAUCACGUCGACUUGCCAAGAUCCGUGGUGAAAUUAUAAGCGUCGAUGCACAACUUUUUGUGAGUUGACAUUCGACUUCUACGCCUUGAAGGUUCAUAACUUUGGUGAUACUGUUGAAUCUUUCAUGUGAAUAGUAAUGGAGAAGAUGGCGCCCUACAAUAGCAGCGAAUAACGGCGAAUAAGCUUGGUUGUUCUGGAGGUGACCUUUCCGCUUGACCGGUAAACUAUAAAACUUGAAAAAAUAAAAUGUCCUUGGAAAGUAGAUUUUGCGGCGAGACU